AAGAUGCUAGUUAAAACCAUAACCCUACCUCGUCAAGGUGAAAUUGCGGGUUGAAGCCCCGCGUGUCUUA
rnacentral:tRNA from 1 species